rnacentral:rRNA from 1 species
AGUGGCGAACGGGUGAGUAAAGUAUCGGAACGUGCCCAGUCGUGGGGGAUAACGUAGCGAAAGUUACGCUAAUACCGCAUACGAUCUAUGGAUGAAAGCGGGGGAUCGCAAGACCUCGCGCGAUUGGAGCGGCCGAUAUCAAAUUAGGUAGUUGGUGGGGUAAAGGCUCACCAAGCCGACGAUCUGUAGUUGGUCUGAAAGGACGACCAGCCACACUGGGACUGAGACACGGCCCACACUCCUACGGGAGGCAGCAGUGGGGAAUUUUGGACAAUGGGCGCAAGCCUGAUCCAGCCAUGCCGCGUGCAGGAUGAAGGCCUUCGGGUUGUAAACUUCUUUUGUACGGAACGAAAAGGUUUGGCCUAAUAAGCUGAGCUCAUGACGGUACCGUAAGAAUAAGCACCGGCUAACUACGUGCCAGCAGCCGCGGUAAUACGUAGGGUGCGAGCGUUAAUCGGAAUUACUGGGCGUAAAGCGUGCGCAGGCGGUUAUGUAAGACAGAUGUGAACUCCCCGGCGCUCAACCUGGGAACUGCAUUAGUGACUGCAUAGCUGGAGUACGGCAGAGGGGGGAUGGAAUUCCGCGUGUAGCAGUGAAAUGCGUAGAUAUGCGGAGGAACACCGAUGGCGAAGGCACUCCCCUGGGUCUGUACUGACGCUCAUGCACGAAAGCGUGGG